rnacentral:rRNA from 1 species
AUUGAACGCUGGCGGCAGGCCUAACACAUGCAAGUCGAGCGGAUGAAGGGAGCUUGCUCCUGGAUUCAGCGGCGGACGGGUGAGUAAUGCCUAGGAAUCUGCCUGGUCGUGGGGGAUAACGUCCGGAAACGGGCGCUAAUACCGCAUACGUCCUGAGGGAGAAAGUGGGGGAUCUUCGGACCUCACGCUAUCAGAUGAGCCUAGGUCGGAUUAGCUAGUUGGUGGGGUAAAGGCCUACCAAGGCGACGAUCCGUAACUGGUCUGAGAGGAUGAUCAGUCACACUGGAACUGAGACACGGUCCAGACUCCUACGGGAGGCAGCAGUGGGGAAUAUUGGACAAUGGGCGAAAGCCUGAUCCAGCCAUGCCGCGUGUGUGAAGAAGGUCUUCGGAUUGUAAAGCACUUUAAGUUGGGAGGAAGAGCAGUAAGUUAAUACCUGGCUGUUUUGACGUUACCAACAGAAUAAGCACCGGCUAACUUCGUG